rnacentral:rRNA from 1 species
ACAUACGACCAUAGGGUGUGGAAAACAGGGCUUCCCGUCCGCUCAGCCGUACUUAAACCACACGCCGGGAGGUUAGUAGUUGGGUGGGUGACCACCAGCGAAUCCCUUCUGUUGUAUGUU